UAAUCACAUGUUCUCAUGUUGUUCAAUUGCAGGCUGGCAGAAGUCAUCGUUGUAUCCUGGUGAGUAUGUUGCACUGAAGAUGAGUCUAAGAUAGACAGUUAAGCUCGUAAAUUCUAUAAAACAUUGGGCUACUAACUACCACAUGACAGAGAAAUACAUACAUACAUAUAUAUAUAUAUAUAUAUAGAGAGAGAGAGAGAGAGAGAGAAGUGUAUGUAUAUAUAUGUGCUUGCAACUUCUGGUCCAUAGAAAACAUAGCAAGAAAGAUAAUUUUUUAGUGUUUUUCUUUUCGCCUUUUCUCACCUGCCUCUCACAAGACAGAAGUUAAUUAAACCAGAUAUUAAGAAAUGAAAAAAGUAUAAUUUUCUCUUUUGUGAUUUUUAUUCAUUCUCACUAUAUUACAACUUCAGUUCCUUGCCUAACUCAAAAACAUAAAUUUUUUUCUCUAAUUUUUUCCACCGGUAUUGGAUUUUAUCAAAUGAUUUUUCUGUGCCUAUUGAGAUGAUUAUGCUAUGCUGUCCUUUAUUUUAUUAGUAUGGUUUAUUAUAUGAAUUGAUUUUUACAUGUUAAGCUGAUCUUGCAUUCUGGGAACUAAUCCCACUUGGCGGUGUGUGUAAUCAUUUUUGCAUGGCUGUUAUAUUAAAUUUACUAGUAUGUUAUUGAGAGUUUUGCAUCUGUAUUCGUGAAGGAUAUUUGUGAUGUCUUUGGUUUUAGUACCAGGGUGAUACUAGCCUCAGGAUGAUAAGGGAAAUAUUCUACCCACUUCUAUUUUCUAGAAGAUUUUGUUGAAGCUGGUAUUUUCUGUCCUUUAAAGGUUUGAUAAAACUCACCAGUAAAAUCAUCUGGGCCUGGGAAUGAAUUCGCAUAAAUUUUCAAUUCAAUUAUUUUACUUGUUAUAAGUCUUUCCAGAUUUUCUAUUUCUUAAGCCAUUUUUAGUAAUUUGCGUAUCUUGGAGAAUUUGUGUAGUUCGUCUAAGUUUAAUUUGUCAGCUAUGGAUUUUAAUAGAAGUUUCAUUUGAGCUUUCUAAAUUCUGUAGAUUCAAUAGUGAUCUCAUCAAUAUGUGGUUUCUCAUUCUUAUUGAGCAAUCUAGUAAAAUUUGCUGAUUUCCUAAAAAAGCAAAAUCUGUUUCAGUGAUUUUUUUCCUAAUAAAUUUUGUUUUCUUUCAUUGAUUUCUAACCUAAUCUUUAUUAUUUCAUUAUUUGAUUGCUCUAAGCUUCGUUCACUCUUCUCUUUUCAGUCUUUUCAUGGAGAAACUUAGGCUAUUGGUUUAAGAUAAUACUUUUUCUCUACUUUGGACAAUUCAAGCUCCAAAUUUCCCUGUAGGUAUUACUUUUAGCUGCAUCCAAUAAAGUUUGGUAGAUAGUGUUCUCAUUUUAAUUCAAUUCAAAAUAUUUUUAAAAUUUUCUUUUGAUUUUUUUAUCCACAGAUUGUUUAUAAAUAUAUCAAUAUCCAAAUAUUGCUAAAUAAGAAAUUUUCUUCUUUUUUGAUUCCUAAUUUAAUUUUAUUGUAACCAGAGAUCAUCUUUUUUACAGCUGUCUUUUUAUUAAUCGCUUUAAAUAUUUUUUCAUGAAUGAGCGUUUCUCAGUUUGAUGUGUGCCUUUGUCAAUUUCCACCAUUGCAAAGUGAUCAUUUUUUUAUAAUUUUUCCAGUUUUAAUUGUUGCUUUUGGGGAUAGGAUUUAGGCUUCUCAUUCAUUCCCUUCCAGUUAGUUUCAUGCAUCAAUAACUAUUUCCUAAGUAGAACUCUAGAUAUAUUUGUCUAGCGUUUUUCCCUAUAUGUCUUCUGUAUGGUUGCUCACUUGAAGCUACCCAGUAUAACUGUAAAAAUUCCAUCAUCUUGAUCUUUGCUUAUUCUUGACUUUCUUAAGUCAUUUUGUUCAAUAAAGAAAUUCCACUAGUGCCUUAUGCUAAAAUUGCACAUUUAAUUUCAUUUCUUAUUUUAGGUGACCUAUGAAAGCCAUUGUCAUACUUGUUCUAAAAAGGCCAAGAUUGUAAAUAUUUUAAAGUUUAUGGGCCAUAUGGUCUCUGUCACAAUUACUCAACUGUGCCUUUUUAGCACAAAAGCAACCAUAGACAAUGCAUAAAGAGAUAGCAUGGUUGUGUUACAAUAAAACUAUUUACACUGACAGAUGGGCUGGAUUUGUCUCCUGGACUAACACAGGAACUGACUCUGGAUCUAGAAAAAGUCACUUUUAGAACCCUGAAAAAUCCACCCAUUUCUGGAGUUUUUCAUUUAUUUUGAUUAUGUUUUAUAUUAAAUAUGUAUUUAAAAGACAAAUAGUUCUUAAAAUAAAUGGUAAUAACAGAUCCAGUGGAUACUCUCUUUUCAAGUUCAUUCCUAUAGAUCCUGUUUAGGGCACAAGAUAUAUUGUCUAAAUGAUUAUAGAAAAAAAGUUUUAGAACUGUUUUGUCUCUUCUUAUCAUGGCUGUCUCUAUAUGCAGUCAGGUUUAUCUGUUUCGUCACUCUUACCACCUAAGCAUUGAACUAAGACUGCACUUUUUAAUUGUUGGUUGCAGUUUUGCACUUUCAUUUAUUAUGGCACUAUCUGCAUUGAGCAGUGUAAUGAACUUUAAUUUUUAUAAAAAUCAACUCAUAUCUCUCUGGUUUAACCUCUUGCAUACAAAUUAAUAUGAGUGUAUCUAGGUCUGUGAUUCUCCUGGGCAACUCUAUUCAAAAUAGUAGCUCUGAGAACUAGUUUUUUUCCAGUCUUCUGUCUUCUCCAUUUCUAGGGCCUUAUAAUUCUGGCAUUGGGUGGGAAAGUGUUAGAAUGGGAAUGAAAAAAAAAUCAAGUGAACUACUUUAUUGUCCAACCUAGAAAUGAUAUGGUUGCCUGCUGAGCACAUUGUAAUGACCAUAACUCAGUUGUAUCAUCUCACCUAAAGACGAUGAAGGUGGUGAGGGUUGGUAUGUAAUUCUACUCUUUUUUAAGAAGAGGAUAACUGCUUGUAGUCUGCACUACAUAAUAUAUAAUGGAGGAGUUCCCGUUGUGGUGCAGUGGUUAACGAAUCCGACUAGGAACCAUGAGGUUGCGGGUUCAGUCCCUGCCCUUGCUCAGUGGGUUAACGAUCCGGCGUUGCCGUGAGCUGUGGUGUAGGUUGCAGACGCAGCUCGGAUCCCGCAUUGCUGUGGCUCUGGCGUAGGCCGGUGGCUACAGCUCCGAUUCAACCCCUAGCCUGGGAACCUCCAUAUGCCACGGGAGCGGCCCAAGAAAUAGCAACAACAACAACAACAACAACAACAAAAAGACAAAAGCCAAAAAAAAAAACAAAAGAAAAAAAAUAGAUAAGUGAAUGGAUAUAUUAGGUAAGUGAAUGGAUAUAUUAGGUAAGUGAAAGGGCUGAGUGUAGACCACUCUUUCAAAGGAAACUGUCUGUCAAGGGAAGACAAAAGACAGCAGAAUCUGUGACAGAAUGCAGGUUAGAAGGAAGGAAUUUAGUUUGUGCUUGUUUUGAUUGCUUUGCUUACUUUUGUUUUGUUUUAAAAUGAGAAGCACCAAAAAGUAUGUUUAUGCAGAAAGGAGAUUGGAGAGUGAGAGAUGGAAGUGAUUAGAGAGAAGCUACCACGUGAAAUGAUUAUGCCUGGAAAGAAUGGAGAUGGUGAUAUUCAAGCCCACAAAUGAAGACUGCAUAAGAGAACACAAGGUGUAAAAGGUCUUUAAGGGAAAAGAACAGCAUUGCCAAAUCAUGGUUUAAAAUAUUCACUCAGGCUGCAUUUAGGCGUUGACUAAAAUAACCAGCAUAAGUGAUGGAUCCAGUGGAGAGUUAAUGCCACUGGAGGCCAAGACCCUACAAAACUGGGGGAGAUAUUAUGAAAGCAAAGGGAACAGCAGGCUCUGGAGAAGAGGAACACCUCUGAGUGCCUGAGAUGAUGAGAAAUUACAGGAACCACGGAAUUGUUUGUGCAGUUAAAUCGUAAAAAUUCUUCCAGUGAUUUUUGCUUAUCAGUUAAUUAUGGUCUGGAUUUGUCACCUUUGGUCUUUUCGAGAGGGGAGCUCGCACAUUACUAUGUCCCACAGGUUUGUAUCUAAUUAUCGCAACCCCAGACUUAGCCCUGAUUCAUGCUCCAUUACUAACCACCAGUUACUAACAAUCUCCACAGCCAAUGUUAUACAGAAACAAUCACCCAGCAUUAUGUGGGGUCCUUGCAUAGAGUUUCUCUUUAAUCUUUCUGAAAGUCCCUCUGACCUGUAUAUUUGUUCAUUAGGUCCUUUUCAAAUCCUUCCUCUAAUGCUCUUGGGUACCAUUUUUGUCAUGACUUUGCCUCUGAAAUGAACCAAUAUUUUAUUUUAUUUUUAUGAACCCUAGAAGAUUCUCUAAAUUUUCAUCAAUGAAACACAAAAGGUUUAUGCACCAAAAUACUCUCCCAGCAGUAAAAACAAUACCUACCCCUCCUCAGCCUCAUGGACUAAAUGACAAAGGUGAACUGAUUUAUCAGUAAGUCAUUAGUUGUGGCUGAUUUAUUUCUGCAAUCAUUCUUAUCUGGGCAAUAAAAGCUUCUGAAUAACUUUCUUUUUUUUUUUUUUCUAAGGUGAUGUGUUCAAAGAUCAGCAACAAACCACGAAGGGAUGAAAGAGAAAGAGAAACACAGAAACACAAGUUCCUUAUUACACUAGGUAGAACAUUCAUGGAAAGAGAAUGGAGAUGGGAAAAUCAGUGAACUUUGGGAAAAGAAGAUGUAUGGAUUAUUUUAUCUGAGUCACUUUGAAAACAUAAGUGACAAGAGAGUUUAAAAGUGCAUUUCGUUUAGUAGGUUUUUACUCUCUUUCACACUACGCAAGCACGUAUAAACGAACAAAACUAAAAGAAGCUGGAUAUCAAGGAAACCGGUUUCUGAGCAUUAGAAGGGAAAAAACAAAUGGUUGUCCUUUCAUUUGGUAUGUGAUUUUAAUAUGUUUUUGGAAAUAUAUUUUGAGAGCAACAUGUGCACU
rnacentral:lncRNA from 1 species